AUGCACGCUGGCGGCGUGCCUCAUACAUGCAAGUCGAGCGAACAGACGAGGAGCUUGCUCCUCUAACGUUAGCGGCGGACGGGUGAGUAACACGUGGAUAACCUACCUAUAAGACUGGGAUAACUUCGGGAAACCGGAGCUAAUACCGGAUAAUAUAUUGAACCGCAUGGUUCAAUAGUGAAAGACGGUUUUGCUGUCACUUAUAGAUGGAUCCGCGCCGCAUUAGCUAGUUGGUAAGGUAACAGCUUACCAAGGCAACGAUGCGUAGCCGACCUGAGAGGGUGAUCGGCCACACUGGAACUGAGACACGGUCCAGACUCCUACGGGAGGCAGCAGUAGGGAAUCUUCCGCAAUGGGCGAAAGCCUGACGGAGCAACGCCGCGUGAGUGAUGAAGGUCUUCGGAUCGUAAAACUCUGUUAUUAGGGAAGAACAAAUGUGUAAGUAACUAUGCACGUCUUGACGGUACCUAAUCAGAAAGCCACGGCUAACUACGUG
rnacentral:rRNA from 1 species